rnacentral:rRNA from 1 species
AACGGCUACCACAUCCAAGGAAGGCAGCAGGCGCGCAAAUCACCCAAUCCCGAUACGGGGAGGUAGUGACAAUAAAUAACAAUACAGGGCUUUAUAGUCUUGUAAUUGGAAUGAGUACAAUUUAAAUCUCUUAACGAGGAACAAUUGGAGGGCAAGUCUGGUGCCAGCAGCCGCGGUAAUUCCAGCUCCAAUAGCGUAUAUUAAAGUUGUUGCAGUUAAAAAGCUCGUAGUUGAAUUUUAGGCCUGGUUGGACGGUCUGCUCUAGGGUUUGUACUGUCCUGACUGGGUCUUACCUUCUGGUGAGCUGUCGUAUUGUUUACUCAGUGCGGCAGGGAACCAGGACUUUUACUUUGAAAAAAUUAGAGUGUUUAAAGCAGGCAUUCGCUUGAAUACAUUAGCAUGGAAUAAUAGAAUAGGACUUUGGUUCUAUUUUGUUGGUUUCUAGGACCGAAGUAAUGAUUAAUAGGGAUAGUUGGGGGCAUUAGUAUUUAAUUGUCAGAGGUGAAAUUCUUGGAUUUAUUAAAGACUAACUUCUGCGAAAGCAUUUGCCAAGGAUGUUUUCAUUAAUCAAGAACGAAAGUUAGGGGAUCGAAGACGAUCAGAUACCGUCGUAGUCUUAACCAUAAACUAUGCCGACUAGGGAUCAGGCAAGGAUAUUUUGACUUGUUUGGCACCUUAUGAGAAAUCAAAGUUUUUGGGUUCCGGGGGGAGUAUGGUCGCAAGGCUGAAA